rnacentral:rRNA from 1 species
UAACCGUAGAGUUUGAUCGUGGAUCGCUGAAUAGAGGAGCUUGCUCUUCUUGGAUGAGUUGCGAACGGGUGAGUAACGCGUAGGUAACCUGCCUUGUAGCGGGGGAUAACUAUUGGAAACGAUAGCUUAAUACCGCAUAAACAAGGAAGGACUCAGUGUCAUUUAUUUGAAAGGGGCAAUUGCUUCCACUACCAAGAUGGACCUGCGUUGUAUUAGCUAGUAGGUGAGGUAACGGCUCACCUAGGCGACGAUACAUAGCCGACCUGAGAGGGUGAUCGGCCACACUGGGACUGAGACACGGGCCCAGACUCCUACGGGAGGCAGCAGUAGGGAAUCUUCGGCAAUGGGGGCAACCCUGACCGAGCAACGCCGCGUGAGUGAAGAAGGUUUUCGGAUCGUAAAGCUCUGUUGUAAGUCAAGAACGAGUGUGAGAGUGGAAAGUUCACACUGUGACGGUAGCUUACCAGAAAGGGACGGCUAACUACGUGCCAGCAGCCGCGGUAAUACGUAGGUCCCGAGCGUUGUCCGGAUUUAUUGGGCGUAAAGCGAGCGCAGGCGGUUUGAUAAGUCUGAAGUUAAAGGCUGUGGCUCAACCAUAGUUCGCUUUGGAAACUGUCAAACUUGAGUGCAGAAGGGGAGAGUGGAAUUCCAUGUGUAGCGGUGAAAUGCGUAGAUAUAUGGAGGAACACCGGUGGCGAAAGCGGCUCUCUGGUCUGUAACUGACGCUGAGGCUCGAAAGCGUGGGGAGCGAACAGGAUUAGAUACCCUGGUAGUCCACGCCGUAAACGAUGAGUGCUAGGUGUUGGAUCCUUUCCGGGAUUCAGUGCCGCAGCUAACGCAUUAAGCACUCCGCCUGGGGAGUACGACCGCAAGGUUGAAACUCAAAGGAAUUGACGGGGGCCCGCACAAGCGGUGGAGCAUGUGGUUUAAUUCGAAGCAACGCGAAGAACCUUACCAGGUCUUGACAUCCCGAUGCUAUUUCUAGAGAUAGAAAGUUACUUCGGUACAUCGGUGACAGGUGGUGCAUGGUUGUCGUCAGCUCGUGUCGUGAGAUGUUGGGUUAAGUCCCGCAACGAGCGCAACCCCUAUUGUUAGUUGCCAUCAUUCAGUUGGGCACUCUAGCGAGACUGCCGGUAAUAAACCGGAGGAAGGUGGGGAUGACGUCAAAUCAUCAUGCCCCUUAUGACCUGGGCUACACACGUGCUACAAUGGUUGGUACAACGAGUUGCGAGUCGGUGACGGCAAGCUAAUCUCUUAAAGCCAAUCUCAGUUCGGAUUGUAGGCUGCAACUCGCCUACAUGAAGUCGGAAUCGCUAGUAAUCGCGGAUCAGCACGCCGCGGUGAAUACGUUCCCGGGCCUUGUACACACCGCCCGUCACACCACGCGAGUUAGCACUCCAGAAGUUCGUGGCUCAGCAAGUCGUAACAAGGUACCCGUAGAG